CUCUCGGUCCUCGGUCGGUACGGUCUCUGCACCUCGCGCCCCAGCAGGUAAACUAACAUGGAUUUUUCCAAGCUACCCAAAAUACUCGAUGAAGAUAAAGAAAGCACAUUUGGUUAUGUGCAUGGGGUCUCAGGACCUGUGGUUACAGCCUGUGACAUGGCGGGUGCAGCCAUGUAUGAGCUGGUGAGAGUGGGCCACAGCGAGUUGGUUGGAGAGAUUAUUCGAUUGGAGGGUGACAUGGCUACUAUCCAGGUGUAUGAAGAAACUUCUGGUGUUUCUGUUGGAGAUCCUGUACUUCGCACUGGUAAACCCCUCUCUGUAGAGCUUGGUCCUGGCAUUAUGGGAGCCAUUUUUGAUGGUAUUCAAAGACCUUUGUCGGAUAUCAGCAGUCAGACCCAAAGCAUCUACAUCCCCAGAGGAGUAAACGUGUCUGCUCUUAGCAGAGAUAUCAAAUGGGACUUUACACCUUGCAAAAACCUACAGGUUGGUAGUCAUAUCACUGGCGGAGACAUUUAUGGAAUUGUCAAUGAGAACUCGCUUAUCAAACACAAAAUCAUGUUACCCCCACGAAACAGAGGAACUGUAACUUAUAUUGCUCCACCUGGGAAUUAUGAUACCUCUGAUGUUGUCUUGGAGCUUGAAUUUGAAGGUGUAAAGGAAAAGUUCACCAUGGUGCAAGUAUGGCCUGUACGUCAAGUUCGACCUGUCACUGAGAAGCUGCCAGCCAAUCAUCCUCUGUUGACUGGCCAGAGAGUCCUUGAUGCCCUUUUUCCGUGUGUCCAGGGAGGAACUACUGCUAUCCCGGGAGCCUUUGGCUGUGGAAAGACAGUGAUAUCACAGUCUCUAUCCAAGUAUUCUAACAGUGAUGUAAUCAUCUAUGUAGGAUGUGGUGAAAGAGGAAAUGAGAUGUCUGAAGUCCUCCGGGACUUCCCAGAGCUCACAAUGGAGGUUGAUGGUAAGGUAGAGUCAAUUAUGAAGAGGACAGCUUUGGCAGCCAAUACCUCCAAUAUGCCUGUUGCUGCUAGAGAAGCCUCUAUUUAUACUGGAAUCACACUGUCCGAGUACUUCCGUGACAUGGGCUAUCAUGUCAGUAUGAUGGCUGACUCUACCUCUAGAUGGGCUGAGGCCCUUAGAGAAAUCUCUGGUCGUUUAGCUGAAAUGCCUGCAGAUAGUGGAUAUCCAGCCUAUCUUGGUGCCCGUCUGGCCUCUUUUUAUGAACGAGCAGGCAGGGUGAAAUGUCUUGGAAAUCCUGAAAGAGAAGGGAGUGUCAGCAUUGUAGGAGCAGUUUCUCCACCUGGUGGUGAUUUUUCUGAUCCAGUUACAUCUGCCACUCUUGGUAUCGUUCAGGUGUUCUGGGGCUUAGAUAAGAAACUAGCUCAGCGUAAGCAUUUCCCCUCUGUCAAUUGGCUCAUCAGCUACAGCAAGUAUAUGCGUGCCUUGGAUGAAUACUAUGACAAACACUUCACAGAGUUCGUUCCUCUGAGGACCAAAGCUAAGGAAAUUCUGCAGGAAGAAGAAGACCUGGCAGAAAUUGUACAGCUUGUCGGAAAGGCUUCUUUGGCAGAAACAGAUAAAAUCACUCUGGAGGUAGCAAAACUUAUCAAAGAUGAUUUCCUACAACAAAAUGGAUAUACUCCUUAUGACAGGUUCUGCCCAUUCUACAAGACAGUAGGGAUGCUGUCCAACAUGAUUGCAUUUUACGAUAUGGCUCGUAGAGCUGUUGAAACCACUGCCCAGAGUGACAAUAAAAUCACAUGGUCCAUUAUUCGUGAACACAUGGGAGACAUCCUCUAUAAACUUUCCUCCAUGAAAUUCAAGGAUCCACUGAAAGAUGGUGAGGCAAAGAUCAAGAGCGACUAUGCACAACUUCUUGAAGAUAUGCAGAAUGCAUUCCGUAGCCUUGAAGAUUAGAAGCCUUGAAGAUUAGAACUGUGAUUUCCUUUUCCUCAACAAGCUCCUAUGUGUAUAUUUUCCUGAAUUUCUCAUCUCAAACCCUUUGCUUCUUUAUUGUGCAGCUUUGAGACUAGUGCCUAUGUGUGUUAUUUGUUUCCCUGUUUUUCUGGUAGGUCUUAUAUAAAACUAACAUUCCUUUGUUCUAGUGUUGUGAAGGGCCUCCCUCUUCCUCUAUCUGAAGUGGUGAAUGUAGUAAAUAUAUAUUAUGGUCACACUACUGUAAACUUGUAUGUAGGGUGAUGACCCUCUUUGUCCUAGGUGUGCCCUUAUCUCUAUUAAAUUGUAAACAGGACUACUGCAUGUACUCUCUUUGCAGUGAAUUUGGAAUGGAAGGCCAGGUUUCUAUAACUUUUGAACAGGUACUUUGUGAAAUGACUCAAUAUCUAUUGUGGUAAGCUCAUUGGCAGCUUAGCAUUUUGCAGAGGAAUUGCUUUGCAGGAAAUAUUUAAUUUUCAAAAAACAUAAUGAUUAAUGUUCCAAUUAUGCAUCGCUUCCCCCACUAUAAAUCAGGAAUAUUUGUGAGAAACUAUUGGGAACUAUGCUCUUUUUAUUUUUAUUUUUUAUUUAUUUUAUUUUUUUUUGAGACAAGAGUUUCACUCUUGUUGCCCAGGCUGGGGUGCAAUGGCACGAUCUUGGCUCACUGCAACCUCAGCCUCCCGGGUUCAAGCGAUUCUCCUGCCUCAGCCUCCCUGGUAGCUGGGAUUAUACAGGCAUGCUUCACCAUGCCCAGCUAAUUUUGUAUUUUUAAUAGAAACGGGGUUUCACCAUAUUGGUCAGGCUGGUCUCGAACUCCCAACCUCAGGUGAUCCGCCCGCCUCGGCCUCCCAAAGUGCUGGGAUUACAGGCAUAAGCUACCACGCCCGGCCGGGGACUAUACUCUUUUUAAAAUAGACAUUUGUGGGGCUCACACAAUAUAUGAAACAGUACCCUCUAAAAAAGAGAAGAAAAGAAUCAGGCGGUCAAACUUAGAGCAACAUUGUCUUAUUAAAGCAUAGUUUAUUUCACUAGAAAAAAUUUAGUAUCAAGGACUAUUAUAUACUUCAUUACUAGAAGUUCUUUUUAAAAUUACAUUUAAAACAAUCACUGAAAACUUGAUCCACAUCACACCUUCUUAAUUUUCCUUAAACAUCUUGGAAGCCUAAGCUUCUGAGAAUCAUGUGGCAAGUGUGAUGGGCAGUAAAAUAGCAGAGAUUUUAGUAGCAAUUAAAGGCUGUUUGCACCUUUAAGGACCAGCUGGGCUAUAGUGAUUCCUGGGGCCAAAGUGGCAUUAUGUUUUUACGAAAUAAUGACGUGUCACAUGUUUGCAUGUUUGUUUGCUUGUUGAAUUUUUGAACAGCCAGUUAACCAAUCACAGAAAAUAUUACUUUCUUUCAUAUGGUUUUUGGUUCACUGGCUUAAGAGGUUUCUCAGACUAUCUAUGGCCACAGCAGCAUACCAGUUUCCAUCCUAAUAGGAAUGAAAUUAAUUUUGUAUCUACUGAUAACAGAAUCUGCAUCACAUGAAAAAAAAAAGAUCAUUUUAUCCAUCUUUUAAGUAUAUGUUUAAAAUAAUAAUUUAUGUGUCUGCAUAUUGCAGAACAGCUCUGAGAGCAACAGUUUCCCAUUAACUCUUUCUGACCAGUAGUGCUGGCACCAUUGCUUCCUCUUUGGGUAGAGGAAAGGGUGUGUGAACAUGGCUAACAAUCUCAAAUACCCAAAUUGUGAUAGCAUAAAUGAAGUAUUUAUUUUAUGCCUCAGUAUAUUAUUAUUUAAUUUUUUAGGUAAUGCCUAUAUGUUGAUCUAUUAAGGAAAGAAGCAAUCAGUAGAGAAUUCAGGAUAGUUUUGUUUAAAUUCUUGCAGAUUACAUGUUUUUACAGUGGCCUGCUAUUGAGGAAAGGUUUUCUUCCAUACAACUUGUUUUAACCUUUGAGAACAUUGACAGAAAUUAUGCAAUGGUUUGUUGAGAUGCGGACUUAAUGGUGCUGUUUAAUCAGUUUGCUUCCAAAGUGGCCUACCCAAGAGGCCCUAAGACUAGUAGAAAUUAAAAGGAUUUCAAAAACUUUCUAUUCCUUUCUUAAACCUACCAGCAAGCUAGGAUUGUGAUAGCAAUGAAUGGUAUGAUGAAGAAAGUUUGACCAAAUUUGUUUUUUUGUUGUUGUUUUGAAUUUGAAAUCAUUCUUAUUCCCUUUAAGAAUGUUUAUGUAUGAGUGUGAAGAUGCUAGCGAACCUACGCUCAGAGAUUCAUCGUAAGUCUCUCUUCACCUGUUACAGAAUUUCAGAUUGGUCAUUGAUAGUAUGUAUUUCUUUAGUAAGAAUGUGUUAAAAUUACAAUGAUCUUUUAAAAAGAUGAUGCGGUUCUAUAUUUAUUGUGCUGUGUCUGGUCCUAAGUGGAGCCAGUUAAACAAGUUUCCUAUGUAUUUUUUCCAGUGUUAAAUCUCACCCAUUGUACUUCGAAAAUUUCCUUCCAUCCUGAAUAACGAAUAGAAGAGGCCAUAUAUAUUGCCUCCUUAUCCUUGAGAUUUCACUAUGUUUAUGUUAAAAGUUGUGUAUAAUUGUUAAAAUCUGUGAAAGAAUAAAAAGUGGAUUUAAAUUAAAAAAAA